CGAAGAAAUAUCAAAAAUACAUAUAAAUAAGAAGAGAGAGAGAGGGUUUUCAAUUUCUGGGAAUCCAGUCAACUGUUCCUAUCGCGUCUCCAACCACUCUCUUCUCUUCAGUAUUUUUUUCUAUCUGAAUUUCUAUCAGUAUUUCUGUCUCUUUAACUCAGCACUGCCUCUCUCUGUGGCACCAGGAAGUAACCGUGGACCGUGGAGGCUCAUUAAUCAAGCAUUAAACUAUCUUAUAGACCGGUGAUACCCAACCUGGGGGUCAGGACCCGUCCUAAAGGGAUUUGACCUCUUCAAGCCUCUAAAAAAUCUUCAGAAUUAAGAACCUGAGAAGGAAGAAUCGCAUAUUGGUCUGCUGAUUGAUUGUCAUAACUUGUAGACAUGCACAAACAGUG